GCCUACCAUGCAAGUCGAACGAUGACGACCAGUGCUUGCACGGUCUGAUUAGUGGCGAACGGGUGAGUAACACGUGAGUAACCUGCCCCCCACUCUGGGAUAACCUCGGGAAAUCGGGGCUAAUACCGGAUAUGAGCUCCUACCGCAUGGUGGGUGCUGGAAAGUUUUUCGGUGGGGGAUGGACUCGCGGCCUAUCAGUUUGUUGGUGAGGUAAUGGCUCACCAAGGCGAUGACGGGUAGCCGGCCUGAGAGGGCGACCGGCCACACUGGGACUGAGACACGGCCCAGACUCCUACGGGAGGCAGCAGUGGGGAAUAUUGCACAAUGGGCGAAAGCCUGAUGCAGCGACGCCGCGUGGGGGAUGACGGCCUUCGGGUUGUAAACCUCUUUCAGUAGGGAAGAAGCGAAAGUGACGGUACCUGCAGAAGAAGCGCCGGCUAACUACGUGCCAGCAGCCGCGGUAAUACGUAGGGCGCAAGCGUUGUCCGGAAUUAUUGGGCGUAAAGAGCUUGUAGGUGGCUUGUCGCGUCUGCCGUGAAAACCCGAGGCUCAACCUCGGGCGUGCGGUGGGUACGGGCAGGCUAGAGUGUGGUAGGGGAGACUGGAACUCCUGGUGUAGCGGUGAAAUGCGCAGAUAUCAGGAAGAACACCGAUGGCGAAGGCAGGUCUCUGGGCCAUUACUGACACUGAGAAGCGAAAGCAUGGGGAGCGAACAGGAUUAGAUACCCUGGUAGUCCAUGCCGUAAACGUUGGGCACUAGGUGUGGGGAACAUUCCACGUUUUCCGCGCCGUAGCUAACGCAUUAAGUGCCCCGCCUGGGGAGUACGGCCGCAAGGCUAAAACUCAAAGGAAUUGACGGGGGCCCGCACAAGCGGCGGAGCAUGCGGAUUAAUUCGAUGCAACGCGAAGACCUUACCAAGGCUUGACA
rnacentral:rRNA from 1 species